GCGAAAACUUUACAAUGCUGGCAACAGCGAUAAGGGAACCUCGAGUGCCAGGUUACAAAUCUGGCUGUCGAGAUGCCUAAAAGGCAUUUCAUAGCAAGGGCCGGGCAAGACCGGUGCCAGCCGCCGCGGUAACACCGGCGGCUCGAGUGGUAACCGUUAUUAUUGGGUCUAAAGGGUCUGUAGCCGGCCGGAUAAGUCUCUUGAGAAAUCUGGCAGCUUAACGGUCAGGCUUUCAGGAGAUACUGUCUGGCUCGAGGCCGGGAGAGGUGAGAGGUACUUCAGGGGUAGGGGUGAAAUCUUGUAAUCCUUGAAGGACCACCAGUGGCGAAGGCGUCUCACCAGAACGGACCUGACGGCAAGGGACGAAAGCUAGGGGCACGAACC
rnacentral:rRNA from 1 species